GUGGGAGCUGGCUUGCCAGCGAUGGCAGUGUGUCAGUCAGUACAUCCGGUACUGAGACACCACUAUCGCCGGCAAGCCAGCUCCCAC
rnacentral:misc_RNA from 1 species